UACAGAGGUCUCAAGCGUUGUUCGGAUUCAUUGGGCGUAAAGGGUGCGUAGGCGGCGCGGUAAGUCGGGUGUGAAAUCUCGGAGCUUAACUCCGAAACUGCAUUCGAUACUGCCGUGCUUGAGGACUGGAGAGGAGACUGGAAUUUACGGUGUAGCGGUGAAAUGCGUAGAUAUCGGGAGGAACACCUGAGGCGAAGGCGGGCUACUGGGCCGAUACUGACGCUGAUGCGCGAAAGCCAGGGGAGCGAACGGG
rnacentral:rRNA from 1 species